rnacentral:siRNA from 1 species
CUCGUAGCCUAGAUUUG